GAUGAACGCUGGCGGCGUGCCUAAUACAUGCAAGUCGAGCGAACGGACGAGAAGCUUGCUUCUCUGAUGUUAGCGGCGGACGGGUGAGUAACACGUGGAUAACCUACCUAUAAGACUGGGAUAACUUCGGGAAACCGGAGCUAAUACCGGAUAAUAUUUUGAACCGCAUGGUUCAAAAGUGAAAGACGGUCUUGCUGUCACUUAUAGAUGGAUCCGCGCUGCAUUAGCUAGUUGGUAAGGUAACGGCUUACCAAGGCAACGAUGCAUAGCCGACCUGAGAUGGUGAACGGCCACACUGGAACUGAGACACGGUCCAGACUCCUACGAGAAGCAGCAGUAGGGAAUCUUCCGCCAUGGGCAAAAGCCUGACCGAGCAACGCCGCGUCAGUGAUGAAGGUCUUCGGAUCGUAAAACUCUGUUAUUAGGGAAGAACAUAUGUGUAAGUAACUGUGCACAUCUUGACGGUACCUAAUCAGAAAGCCACGGCUAACUACGUG
rnacentral:rRNA from 1 species